rnacentral:rRNA from 1 species
GGGUGAGUAACGCGUGGGUAACCUGCCUCAUACAGGGGGAUAACAGUUAGAAAUGACUGCUAAUACCGCAUAAGACCACAGCACCGCAUGGUGCAGGGGUAAAAACUCCGGUGGUAUGAGAUGGACCCGCGUCUGAUUAGGUAGUUGGUGGGGUAACGGCCUACCAAGCCGACGAUCAGUAGCCGACCUGAGAGGGUGACCGGCCACAUUGGGACUGAGACACGGCCCAAACUCC